rnacentral:rRNA from 1 species
GUAGUCUCGCACAGAUGCAUAUCAAUAAGCGGAGGAAAAGAAACUAACAAGGAUUCCCCUAGUAACGGCGAGUGAAGCGGGAAGAGCCUCAAAUUUGAAAUCUUAAAGGGUUUCCCUUUACGAAUUGUAGUUUAAAGAAGUGUUUUCUGUUGAGGUUUUGGUAAAAGUUCUUUGGAAUAGGACAUCAUAGAGGGUGAGAAUCCCGUAUUUGACCUUUACUUUCAACUUUGUGAUACACUUUCAAAGAGUCGGAUUGUUUGGGAAUGCAGUCCAAAAUGGGUGGUAAAUUUCAUCUAAAGCUAAAUAUUGGCGAGAGACCGAUAGCGAACAAGUACCGUGAGGGAAAGAUGAAAAGAACUUUGAAAAGAGAGUUAAACAGUACGUGAAAUUGUCAAAAGGGAAGCGUUUGACACCAGUGUUGUUUUUCUGAAAAUCAAUUAAAGAACUGUUUAUGCUAAGCUGUUUAGACUUUAUCAGCUAAUCUGUUUAGUUUUGAGCUUUUCUUUAAUGCACUUUUCAGUUAACAAGUCAACAUCAAUUUCUUUUGCUGUAAAAAAGCUUGAGGAAGGUGGCUUGAGAUUCGUCUUAAGUGUUUAUAGCCUCUUGCCUAUGCAGUCGGAGAGAUUGAGGUCUGCAGCGUAGAUCCUUCGGGGCUAAAUGCAUUUGUGCUAAGUUAUAACAUUUUAUAGACAACUUGUUGACUAUGAUUUGUCUUGUAGCUUACUCGCUUAUGUUAUUUUACCUACGCUUAGGAUGUUGAUCUGUAGUGCGUGCGC